UACGUAGGCAGCAAGCGUUGUUCGGAAUUACUGGGCGUAAAGAGUGUGUAGGCGGUGCCCUAAGUUUGGUGUGAAAUCUCCCGGCUCAACUGGGAGGGUGCAUCGAAAACUGGGGUGCUCGAGGGUGGGAGAGGUAAGCGGAAUUCCUGGUGUAGCGGUGAAAUGCGUAGAUAUCAGGAGGAACACCUGUGGUGUAGACAGCUUACUGGACCACUUCUGACGCUGAGACAUGAAAGCGUGGGUAGCAAACAGG
rnacentral:rRNA from 1 species